rnacentral:rRNA from 1 species
GACGAACGCUGGCGGCGUGCCUAAUACAUGCAAGUCGAACGCAGUGGGGACGGGUGAGUAACACGUGGGUAACCUCCCAUCAGAGGGGAUAACACUUGGAAACAGGUGCUAAACCGAUACUGAUGGAUGAACCCGCGGUGCAUUAGCUAGUUGGUGGGGUAACGGCCUACCAAGGCCACGAUCCGUAACUGACCUUAGAGGAUGAUCGGUCACACUGGCAGUGAGACACGGUCCAGACUCCUAAGGGAGGCAGCAGUGGGGAAUCGUUGACAAUGGGCGAAAGCCUUAUCCAGCCACGCCGCGUGAGUGAAGAAGGUUUGCGGAUCGUAAAACACUUUAAGUUGAGAAGCGUUACCAACAGAAUAAGCAACGGCUAACUACGUGCCAGCAGCCGCGGUAAUUC